rnacentral:rRNA from 1 species
UACGUAGGGUGCAAGCGUUGUCCGGAAUUAUUGGGCGUAAAGAGCUCGUAGGCGGUCUGUCGCGUCUGCUGUGAAAACCCGGGGCUCAACUCCGGGCUUGCAGUGGAUACGGGCAGACUAGAGUUCGGUAGGGGAGACUGGAAUUCCUGGUGUAGCGGUGAGAUGCGCAGAUAUCAGGAGGAACACCGGUGGCGAAGGCGGGUCUCUGGGCCGAUACUGACGCUGAGGAGCGAAAGCGUGGGGAGCGAACAGG